rnacentral:rRNA from 1 species
GAAUUUUAUAUAAAUUUUUUUUAAAAAAAUUUAUAUAAAAGAAUUUUUAUAUUUUAUUGGGGGGAUAAUAAAAUUUAUUUAACUUUUAUAUUUAUAAUAAAAUUAUUUUUUUAAAAAUAUAUUUAUUUAAUAAACAUUUAUGAAUGAAUUAAAAUGAAUGAUAAAAUAAUUAAAUUUAUUUAAUUAGAAUAAAUUACCUUAGGGAUAACAGCGUAAUAAUUUUUUAAAGAUCAUAUUAAAAGGAAUGAUUGC